rnacentral:rRNA from 1 species
GACGAACGCCGGCGGCGUGCUUAACACAUGCAAGUCGAACGGAAAGGCCCUGCUUUUGUGGGGUGCUCGAGUGGCGAACGGGUGAGUAACACGUGAGUAACCUGCCCUUGACUUUGGGAUAACUUCAGGAAACUGGGGCUAAUACCGGAUAGGAGCUCCUGCUGCAUGGUGGGGGUUGGAAAGUUUCGGCGGUUGGGGAUGGACUCGCGGCUUAUCAGCUUGUUGGUGGGGUAGUGGCUUACCAAGGCUUUGACGGGUAGCCGGCCUGAGAGGGUGACCGGCCACAUUGGGACUGAGAGACGGCCCAGACUCCUACGGGAGGCAGCAGUGGGGAAUAUGGCACAAUGGGCGGAAGCCUGAUGCAGCAACGCCGCGUGCGGGAUGACGGCCUUCGGGUGGUAAACCGCUUUCGCCUGUGACGAAGCGUGAGUGACGGUAAUGGGUAAAGAAGCACCGGCUAACUACGUG